AUUGAACGCUGGCGGCAGGCCUAACACAUGCAAGUCGAACGAGUGGCGGACGGGUGAGUAAUGUCUGGGACACUGCCUGAUGGAGGGGGAUAACUACUGGAAACGGUAGCUAAUACCGCAUACCAUCGGAUGUUCCCAGAUGGGUUUGGCUAGUGGGUGGGGUAAAGGCUCACCUAGGCGACGGUCCCUAGCUGGUAUGAGAGGAUGACCAGCCACACUGGAACUGAGACACGGUCCAGACUGCUACGGGAGGGAGCAGUGGGGAAUAUUGCACAAUGGGCGCAAGCCUGAUGCAGCCAUGCCGCGUGUAUGAAGAAGGCCUUCGGGUUGUAAAGUAAUUUCAGCGGGGAGGCGGUACCCGCAGAAGAAGCAACGGCUAACUCCGUGCCAGCCGCCGCGGUAAUUC
rnacentral:rRNA from 1 species